UACGAAGGGGACUAGCGUUGUUCGGAAUUACUGGGCGUAAAGCGCACGUAGGCGGAUUUGUAAGUCAGGGGUGAAAUCCCGGGGCUCAACCUCGGAACUGCCUUUGAUACUGCAAAUCUCGAGUCCGAUAGAGGUGGGUGGAAUUCCGAGUGUAGAGGUGAAAUUCGUAGAUAUUCGGAAGAACACCAGUGGCGAAGGCGACUCACUGGACAUGUAUUGACGCUGAGGCGCGAAGGCGUGGGGAGCGAACGGGG
rnacentral:rRNA from 1 species